ensembl:lncRNA
CAGCACCAGCGCUUUUGCAGAACAUGGAUUGUAAUAUCCAAUAGCUGAUGGGUGUGAACAUGGAUUUUAAUAUCCACCAACUUAUGAUGGGCACUGAGUUUGAACAUGGAUUGUAAUAUCCAACAGUCCAGUCAUGGGGCUGAAAUAGUUCUUUCCUUGUUGGACCUUAACUGUCAGAUGAGAGAGUAAGAUGCGUAGAGUAAGAUGUGUAGAUUAAGAUGUGUAGAGUAAGAUGCAUAGAGUAAGAUGUGUAGAUUAAGAUGUGUAGAGUAAGAUGCGUAGAGUUAGAUGUGUAGAGUAAGACAUGUAGAGUAAGAUGCGUAGAGUUAGAUGUGUAGAGUAAGAUGUGUAGAGUAAGAUGUGUAGAGUUAGAUGUGUAGAGUAAGACGUGUAGAGUAAGAUGUGUAGAGUAAGAUGCGUAGAGUUAGAUGUGUAGAGUAAGAUGCGUAGAGUAAGAUGUGUAGAGUAAGAUGUGUAGAGUAAGAUGUGUAGAGUUAGAUGUGUAGAGUAAGAUGCGUAGAGUUAGAUGCGUAGAAUAAGAUAUGCACCGACCAACGUAUGAUGGAGCCCAUGUAGUAAGGAGUAGAUUCACACAAAAAAAACUUUAAGAUCUUCAUCAAUCAUUUGUUAUUAACACAUAAAUCAUGUGUUAUUAUCAGACCUUCAUUCUUCAGGCGUAUAUCCCUUUGUCUGUGACGCUGUACAUCUUUUGGCACCCCCCAUUUCACCACAACCAUCCUCCUGCCCUUAAUUAAAGAGUCCUAGUUUAAGGAGAAAAAAACGAUCAAACAGCAAGUGAGAUGAGGCCUGCAGCUGCUGCAGAGCUCACAGGGGAGGAGCGAAAAAUUAACCAUGGUAACAUCUCAUGGAAAAAUAUUAAAUUCAUGGCUUGUUUUUAUCAUUCUUGGCAAGCAUUCAUUUUUGGAGACUCGAGUUGCUCCCUGAUACACACUAAGAUAUAGAAGUAUAUGGCCACUUGUUUCAUAGCAAUUUAACCCAAAUUGUUGAAAUUGAGAGUUCAUCCAGGCUUUUAUUCAAUCAGUCUUUGCGGUCUGUGGGGGUUACUGCCAUCAUUAGCAAUCAUUCCAGCUCAGAAAGAAUAGUUAGAAGUUUACAUCACCUAGUUCUCAGUGUCAGUUAGAGAUAUAAGUGGCAUUUUUUGAUAAAGCUUCUGUUGCACAUCUUGAAGUGGC